GGAUGUGAGGGCGACCUGGCUGUGACACCAUUGAUCGCCAGGGUUGAUUCGGCUGAUCUGGCUGGCUAGGCGGGUGUCCCCUUCCUCCCUCACCGCUCCAUGUGCAUCCUCCGGAAGCUGCGCAUUCGGUCGAAGAGGACCACCUUCUCCGAUAGAGGAGGGGACCGUUCUUAGGUCAAGGGUAUACGAAUAGCUGUGCUUCCCUGCUAGAACCUCCAAACAAGCUCUCAAAUUAUCACAAAUCUUCAAAAAGUUUUCUAAUAUAUUUAUUUUAUAAAAUCUGAAUAUAAUA
rnacentral:snRNA from 1 species